rnacentral:rRNA from 1 species
CAGCUUGGGAGGGACAAAAGAGGAGGUCGCUGGUAGAUGACGGGGGAGCAAGCAAGGACUGAUGGGUGCAUCACUACACUGCUACCCGUUUCUCAACUUUUGCUUUACACGGCACUAUUUCGACAGAAUAUUAUAGGAAGGGUGGACUAUGAAGGGAAACACUGGUGUUCUAAGAUAGAUGUUCUGUGUUUGAGAUCUUGCCUUGGUAGCUGGAUGCCUUGGUGCAAGACAUUCAAGGUUGUUUGAUGCGUUUGUGCUCGUCGGCGGGACGGUGCAAGGCACAACUCCGACGCGGUUCCUCGCCGGUUGGACGGCGUUCAGGCGCAACCCCGGCGCGCACUGAGUACUGCCUCGGCUACAGCCUCCCUUGGUGAGGUCCAUCUUCCUCCCGCUCCUCUGCUUCGGCUACUGUAUGGGACAUUGCCAUGGCUAUAUUGAUGUGGUGCUUGUCUGGUUGAUGCUCUAUGCCCUACUCAUGCAUCGGUUUCUACUUGAGCUCUGUACUUGUGGAUCCAUGCCAUUUUAGGGUUUGCAGGCUGUUGUUCAUGUUUAGUUGCUAUCAUAGGAGCUAAUGUGAUGCUCUGGUUUACAUGUGGAUGCCCUGGUCCUAUAGCUAUGCUCCUGGAUUUGCUAGAUUGAUCAGUGGCAUUCGUGCUAGGGCGAUGAUGAUUAAUCGUGGCUGAAAUAAGUGUGCCUUUGAGCAAUCGUGGCACCUGUGCGUAUCAGGUUGGAUCCUCCCUCUUGUCUCUAGAAUCCUUUUUGAUCCUGUGAUACUUGUUGUUGUCCUUGGAUGGUCAUUCUUGUUGAGUGAUAACCAGGGCAGCUCCACUGUAUGAACAGAUUGAUCUGGUGAUAAGAGAUGACGGGGGUAGGUUAUAUGAUCGAGGAAAGGUGAAUCUGAGCCCGCUAUGAUGGACAGGCCGCUCUCGCACCACCAGACUCCCUUCAGGGUAGUUACCCACGGGCACGUACUUUUGCUGUUUAUUUUUACUUGUGAUUCCGCUCGUUGUGAACGUGGCUCGAUCCAUGUUGUGGCCCAAUUAUUAUUUUUGUUUUGUUUCGAUGGAUCGUCUUGGCUUGCUUUUGGCCUGAAGUUGUUGCCUUGCUUUUGGCACACCUGAUUCCACUACCUUUUGUUGUUGCUUGGACCAGUUUCUAUGUAAUGAACAUAUUUAUAUCAAUGUUGUGCUUCUGUUAUAAUCUUGC